GUGGGGAAUCUUCCGCAAUGGACGAAAGUCUGACGGAGCGACGCCGCGUGAGUGAAGAAGGCCUUCGGGUCGUAAAGCUCUGUCAUCAGGGACGAACGGCCGGUGGAGUGGAAAGCCACCGGAUUGACGGUACCUGAGAAGGAAGCCACGGCUAACUACGUGCCAGCAGCCGCGGUAAUACGUAGGUGGCAAGCGGUGUCCGGAAUUAUUGGGCGUAAAGCGCGCGCAGGUGGGAUCUUAAGUCCAUUUUUAAAGUUCGGAGCUCAACUCCGUGAUGGGAUGGAAACUGGGAUUCUUGAGUACCGGAGAGGAAAGCGGAAUUCCCCGUGUAGCGGUGAAAUGCGUAGAUAUGGGGAGGAACACCAGUGGCGAAGGCGGCUUUCUGGACGGUGUCUGACACUGAGGCGCGAAAGCCAGGGGAGCGAACGGGAUUAGAAACCCGAGUAGUCC
rnacentral:rRNA from 1 species